GGUGCCAUGGCUCAGUUGGAUAAAGCGCCUGUCUAAUAAACAGGAGAUCCUGAGUUCGACUCUCAGUGGGGCCU
rnacentral:tRNA from 1 species